rnacentral:tRNA from 1 species
GGAAAGGUGCUCGAGUGGUUGAAGAGGCCCGCCUGGAAAGCGAGUAAGCGUUAAAAGCGCUUCAGGGGUUCGAAUCCCCUCCUUUCCGCCA